ACUGCCUAUAAAGACCCACGUCUACAGAAUAUUGUACAGGGUAUACUGUGCAAUGCAAUACAGAAUAUACAUUUAUCAUUUGUGCAGCUAAAGUUCUACAUUUUCUAAUUACUGGAUUGGGAUUUAAAGGGUCAGAACACGUUUAGUGUGUUAUAUACAAAAUAUAGAACAUUUGCCAGGACAGCGCCACCUUGAGGAAAACAAAGACAAGGGGCGUUUAAUGGGCGUGAUCCUAGACCACAUGACCGGCGUUGGAGCUUCAAAUUGUACCCGGUUGUGCUCCAGCAGUCACUUCCAGGUACAGCGGUGAGAGGGGUGGUUUAGCGAUUCAGAAAAGUACAGGAUGUGCUCUCCAGAAGACGGGUUGGAUCCAGCCUGCAGUACGCCCCUGUGGAUUGACGCAUUGCUCUUUCGUUGCAUGUAUGCAGCGUAGUGUUGUAGAGUACGAGGUUGUUCAGUGUCUUUCUCUCGCGUUGUCUUAAAUACUCUUGCUAUGUGUAGGGUUACCUAUUGACUCCAUUGUUCAGGCUUUCCCACUCCUCGCAAUACAUUCAGAUUACCUGCCUCGGGUACCUUUCACAGCAUGAUUACGCUUACCAGCAUGCACUGCGAUGUGAGUGGUCAAAUGGUAACCCUAGCUAUUUAUAACAUGUAAUGCAAUGUAAUUGUCUAUUUAAGCUUUAUACAGACGUUGUACCAACGGACUUGCGCCACAUUACGUGAAGUGCAUUCAAUAUAGUUCUGGAAAUAAAUUUAUUGAGGCAAGUGGA